AACUUAGACCCUGUUCACACGGAACCGGAUGAAUAUUCGUCCAGACCUGUGUGAAUAGGGUCUUAAGA
rnacentral:pre_miRNA from 1 species